CCUACGGGAGCAGCAGUGGGGAAUAUUGCACAAUGGGCGAAAGCCUGAUGCAGCAACGCCGCGUGAGGGACGACGGCCUUCGGGUUGUAAACCUCUUUUAGUAGGGAAGAAGCGAAAGUGACGGUACCUGCAGAAAAAGCACCGGCUAACUACGUGCCAGCAGCCGCGGUAAUACGUAGGGUGCAAGCGUUAUCCGGAAUUAUUGGGCGUAAAGAGCUCGUAGGCGGUUUGUCGCGUCUGCUGUGAAAACUGGAGGCUCAACCUCCAGCCUGCAGUGGGUACGGGCAGACUAGAGUGCGGUAGGGGAGAUUGGAAUUCCUGGUGUAGCGGUGGAAUGCGCAGAUAUCAGGAGGAACACCGAUGGCGAAGGCAGAUCUCUGGGCCGUAACUGACGCUGAGGAGCGAAAGCAUGGGGAGCGAACAGGAUUAGAUACCCUGGUAGUCCAUGCCGUAAACGUUGGGAACUAGAUGUAGGGACCAUUCCACGGUUUCUGUGUCGCAGCUACGACAUUAACGUUACCCCGUCCCGUCGGGAGGUACGGCCGGCCGACGGACGUAAACCUACAAACUAGAAGUUAGUACGGCGUGAGACGUCGCCGACGGACGACCGACCGACGGGAGGUUAGG
rnacentral:rRNA from 1 species